GUCAGAUCCUGUACCCCAGCCUGAAGAAGUUGAGUUGAAAUGUUUUAGGUGCUGCUUUCCAAAUGCAAGUGUAGGAUUAUUUUAUGAACGAUACCAUUAUUUCUUAAGUCUCCGCUGUGUGGCUCUAAAAUACGAUGAAUCAUUUGAAUUUGUUGGUCUACACAGAGAGUAUUCCACCCAUCAGCUAAACAACCCUCAAACUACACAAGUAAAGCCAAUCUGUUUUUCUGAUGUUUGAGGCAGAAAAAUGUUGCUGGGAUUGACACUCACCAAGGAGCUGUACCGUACCUGUCACCAAGUAAGAUGCUGCUGUUGAUAUUGUUGUUGUUGUUGUCUUGGUGAUUGUCAUUCCAACCUUCCUGGGAAUCAUCUGUUCUAGAGCCAUCCAAGAUGCAGAGAUAGCUGACACUCACAUGUCAUCGGCAGCCCCAGUGCAUUAGAUACCCUAUAGAGAAAUGGUGCAGUGAUCUGUGUUGCUGAUCACCUGUCGUCUUUGUAUUGACUCUACUGACGUGAAUAAGACUUGAAAUGUGAAUGUGAAUCAACUCUGAAUUAAAUCCCAAUCAAAUCUGGAUCUGGAUCCAGGGAAGUUUUAUGAGUCAUUGUUUCAGUGGAUUGUGUGGAAUUUCCUUUCCAUUGGAGACUGACAUGUAAUCUUUCACUAUUUACUGUGAGGAUACAAAUUGUGUUUGCAGUGCUGCUGUACAUGGAUUAUUGGGUCUGUUGCUGCAUACUGUACUGAGGCAUGGUCGUCAGCUUUCACACCUUUCACCCCUCACUCUUUGCCCCCUUACGCAACACACACACACACACACACACACACACACACACACACACACACACACACACACACACACACACACACACACACACACACACACACACACACACACACACACACACACACACACACACAGGCAGAACGACACAGAGCUCAAGCCUUUCCCCAGCCUUUGAUUGUGGAAUUUCCUGCCCAAGGACAUCCGCCAUUCAAAUGUCUUUUCACAAUUCACUUCCCAACUCGAAAUUUCAAAUGCCAGGGCUUUCAAUUAACAUUGAGCUCAUGUGAAGCACCUACAGCCCCUUGUCUGUGAAAAGCAGUACAGAAUGGGUUUUGUAUGGCGUUCAAGCACAUAAUAAACCGAUGGGAGGAUUUGCAAGAUUAUGA
rnacentral:lncRNA from 1 species